rnacentral:rRNA from 1 species
UACGGAGGAGGCAAGCGUUAUCCGGAAUUAUUGGGCGUAAAGCGUCCGUAGGUGGCUCUUUCAGGCCGGCGGUCAAAGACCGGGGCUCAACCCUGGAAAGGCCGUGGAAACUGGUGAGCUAGAGUGCGGUAGGGGCAGAGGGAAUUCCCAGUGUAGCGGUGAAAUGCGUAGAGAUUGGGAAGAACACCGGUGGCGAAAGCGCUCUGCUGGGCCGCAACUGACACUAAGGGUCGAAAGCUAGGGGAGCGAAUGGG